UACGGAAGGCAGCAGGGGGAAUAUUGCACAAUGGGCGCAAGCCUGAUGCAGCCAUGCCGCGUGUAUGAAGAAGGCCUUCGGGUUGUAAAGUACUUUCAGUCGUGAGGAAGGUGUUAAGGUUAAUAACCUUAGCAAUUGACGUUAGCGACAGAAGAAGCACCGGCUAACUCCGUGCCAGCAGCCGCGGUAAUACGGAGGGUGCGAGCGUUAAUCGGAAUUACUGGGCGUAAAGGGCACGCAGGCGGUUAAUUAAGUUGGAUGUGAAAUCCCCGGGCUUAACCUGGGAAUGGCAUUCAAGACUGGUUAGCUAGAGUCUUGUAGAGGGGGUUAGAAUUCCAUGUGUAGCGGUGAAAUGCGUAGAGAUGUGGAGGAAUACCGGUGGCGAAGGCGGCCCCUGGACAAAGACUGACGCUCAUGUGCGAAAGCGUGGGGAGCAAACAGGGAUUAGAUACC
rnacentral:rRNA from 1 species